AAAUAGCCCUUAGUUAUUCCCUGAGAGGAGGCAGUUUGGGUGGGGAAAUCUGGGCACCAGAGGCUACAGCAGGGAAGUAGGAAGGAUUCUAGGGAAAUAGAGACAAGGUCUGGGAGUAAGCAGACCAUAGCUCCUGGACAGAAGGUCACUGGAAUAGAACCUGGAGUAGUGGGUGGGCCUGGAUUCUCCAACCAGCUAUGGGAAGACUGCCUGGAACAGCAGGCAGAUAUCUAGUGGGACUUAGAUAACCUGGAAGGGGAGAACUAGGUGAGUUGGCUGGAGUGCUGCAUUCCAGAAAGAGAGAGAGGAGCUAUGUACUUGGCAAAGGCAUCAGACCUCAAUGGUGCUAAUCCCCAGGCCCAGCCACAAAAAGACACCCAAUGAUAAAUAACGUGCUUUAUGAAGGCUGGCUGGCUGCUGGUUAGCCCUGCCACAGUCCCUAGGAGAGAUUAGGACAUCAAGCGCUGAACUGAACUCAGACUAAGUUGAUCACAAUGAGUUGCAAGAAGAAUUGAAGCCUAAAUUCCCAAUCAGGAGGGAGAGGAAUGCAGGUUCCCACUACAAGAAAGGUGACGGCUAGAGUCCGGAGACCUGAAUGGGGUUGUCCUCAAGGAAGUGAUGAAGGGUCAGAAGCACAGUUACUCCAGGCAUUGCAACACUCUCAUUGAAGGAUAAAGGGGAAGGAUGUGUAUAGGAGCUGACCUAUAAAGUUUUCAAGAAACGCGAUUUUGAUAUCAUCACUGGAAUUGUUUAAUGACUUAAUGUAUUAAAUUUGAAUCAAGAAGUAUCAACAGCAGAUGCUUCAUGGAGAGGCAGAACAUCCCUGGAAUAAUGGUCAAGUACUCCUGCUCUCUUUUUUAUUUGUUUGUUUUUUGAUAAGGGAGAAAUGUGACAAUUUGGGACUAUAUCUGUGCAAUUAACGAAUUUUGAUUUAUAUUGUUCAGUUGAAAGAUUGCUAUAUCAUCUGUGCCUAUUUGUAUAUGGAUCCACAAUUGCUGACAUGCCCUGUCGCAGAUAUGCACCAGAGAGUUAAAACAGAAAGUGUUUAGGAUUUAAUAACCCUAUUCAGGCACAAACAUUUGGGAAUGAUGGGUGAGCUGCUUCCUUAGAAAACCAGUUUAGCUGACUCCUCUGAAGUAAGGGGAGAAGAUAAAAGCCAUGAAAACUUACCAGGAGUAGAACAAAUGAGGCCUGGUGACUGGGAGGGAUUUAAAUAAAGAAACACUCAGGAACAUGGGGGAGACAGAAAGAGGAAGCAUAGGGCAGGAGACAGCAAGAUCACGGAAACUGGAUAAGGGUCUCAGUAGGGGAACAGAGACGAGAUAGGAUUCAACAGCCUGCCUGGGGACAGGAUACCCUGCCUACCUGGGCCCAGAUGGUUCUACAAGGAUUCAUAAGGGAAGGGUAAGAUAGAAAGUGAGUGGUAUUAUGAUUUCAGAUAUUUAUUGUUUUGUAUGAUGUGUACUUUCCAGUGCUUUAUGUGAUUAAGUAUAAAAGAACAUAAUGCA